CAUGAACCGGAUAUGUGGCAAAAUCCAAUUAUUCUCACCCCUAAUUUCAUUCAUCGUAUGUAAAUCAUCUAGAACUAUAUUUAUUCUUCAAAAAUGAAAAUCCAGAGAAAUAAAAUCCUAGAAAAUGUCCCAGGAAGGAACCAUCCUCCAUAAUUGGCUACCUCCAACCUGUGGGCAAGUUACAGGUAACAAACUGAUCUACUCUACACCUACUCUACACCAACUUUUUAUAUAUAAUAAAACGCGGGAAAUUAAAUCUCAAAAAAAUCUCUCCUAGAUCAACAUCCCACACGAGAGAAGGAAUCACACAAUUCGCUUAAGAGAAUAACCAAAACAACAUAUUGUGUUAUUCGUAUUUCUACUUCACACGAAAAAGAUGUAAUCAAAACAGUGUCUGUCUCAUACUGGAAUUCCAGCUGGGGAAAUUUCUCCUGGAGAAACAAUUGGGUUGAACACGACUUUGACUGUGUUGGCUGAUCGGUUGAUAUCAAAUUCAGAUGUUUAUUCUGAUAUUAUGUCAGAGGAUCUUCAAGAUACGGAGGGGAGAAAACACUAAACACUGUCAACGUUGUCAGAUGUUUCAAAUUAACAAGUCUCGGAUUUGGUUAGAAGCCUAAUGGUGGAUACAGUACAUCUUGCAUGUUUUAAUUUGAUCUUAGAUUGGGACCUUAAAUCUCAAGAUUUGCAAUUACUUUGCUACGUAUACUGUAGACAAAAGUGCAAGACAUAAAUCAUUUAGAAAAUUGUGUUA